AGCGGGAUGAGCUCAAAUUUGUAAUCUGGCGGCCUCUGGCCGUCCGAGUUGUAGUCUGGAGAAGCGUUUUCCGCGUCGGACCGUGUACAAGUCCCUUGGAACAGGGCGUCGUAGAGGGUGAGAAUCCCGUCUUUGACACGGACUGCCGACGCUUUGUGAUGCGCUCUCGAAGAGUCGAGUUGUUUGGGAAUGCAGCUCAAAACGGGUGGUAAAUUCCAUCUAAAGCUAAAUAUGGGCGAAAGACCGAUAGCGAACAAGUACCGUGAGGGAAAGAUGAAAAGCACUUUGGAAAGAGAGUUAAACAGUACGUGAAAUUGUUGAAAGGGAAACGCUUGAAGUCAGUCGCGUCUCCUGGGACUCAGCCUUGCUUCUGCUCGGUGUACUUCCUGGGACGACGGGCCAGCAUCGAUUUUGACCGUCGGAGAAAGGCCUUGGGAACGUGGCACCUUUGGGUGUGUUAUAGCCCUCGGUCGUAUGCGACGGUCGGGAUCGAGGACCGCAGCACGCCUUUUUGGCCGGGGUUCGCCCACGUACGUGCUUAGGAUGCUGGCGUAAUGGCUUUAAGCGACCCGUCUUGAAACACGGACCAAGGAGUCUAACAUGCCUGCGAGUGUUUGGGUGGUAAACCCGGACGCGAAAUGAAAGUGAAAAGUUGGGACCUCUGUCGUGGAGGGCACCGACGCCCGGACCAGACCUUCUGUGACGGUUCCGAGGUAGAGCAUGCAUGCUGGGACCCGAAAGAUGGUGA
rnacentral:rRNA from 1 species